AUGCACGCUGGCGGCGUGCCUCAUACAUGCCAGUCGAGCGAACGGACGAGAGGCUUGCUUCUCUGAUGUUAGCGGCGGACGGGUGAGUAACACGUGGAUAACCUACCUAUAAGACUGGGAUAACUUCGGGAAACCGGAGCUAAUACCGGAUGAUAUUUUGAACCGCAUGGUUCAAAAGUGAAAGACGGUCUUGCUGUCACUUAUAGAUGGAUCCGCGCUGCAUUAGCUAGUUGGUAAGGUAACGGCUUACCAAGGCAACGAUGCAUAGCCGACCUGAGAGGGUGAUCGGCCACACUGGAACUGAGACACGGUCCAGACUCCUACGGGAGGCAGCAGUAGGGGAUCUUCCGCAAUGGGCGAAAGCCUGACGGAGCAACGCCGCGUGAGUGAUGAAGGUCUUCGGAUCGUAAAACUCUGUUAUUAGGGAAGAACAGAUGUGUAAGUAACUGUGCACAUCUUGACGGUACCUAAGCAGAAAGCCACGGCUAACUACGU
rnacentral:rRNA from 1 species